rnacentral:ncRNA from 1 species
ACUAAAACGUUGAAGAGAAGAGUAGUUUUUGGCCGCUUGUAAAGAGAGCUCCUGGUUGCUGAGAUGGAGCCUUGCGAAAGAAAAUGAAGAUGAGCUCGGAGUUUGAUUAACGGUGCAAGCUGUUAAUCCGUUGAGAUGCGAUAUAAUUGACGGCUUGAUUAAAAGAGCUAGUGAGGCCUAGAGUGUGAGCUUUAGGCGAAUAAAGGUGGUACCACGGUUUUCGUCCUUGUU